rnacentral:rRNA from 1 species
CCUACGGGUGGCAGCAGUGGGGAAUAUUGCACAAUGGGCGCAAGCCUGAUGCAGCCAUGCCGCGUGUGUGAAGAAGGCCUUUGGGUUGUAAAGCACUUUCAGCGGGGAGGAAGGCGGUGAGGUUAAUAACCUCAUCGAUUGACGUUACCCGCAGAAGAAGCACCGGCUAACUCCGUGCCAGCAGCCGCGGUAAUACGGAGGGUGCAAGCGUUAAUCGGAAUUACUGGGCGUAAAGCGCACGCAGGCGGUCUGUCAAGUCGGAUGUGAAAUCCCCGGGCUCAACCUGGGAACUGCAUUCGAAACUGGCAGGCUAGAGUCUUGUAGAGGGGGGUAGAAUUCCAGGUGUAGCGGUGAAAUGCGUAGAGAUCUGGAGGAAUACCGGUGGCGAAGGCGGCCCCCUGGACAAAGACUGACGCUCAGGUGCGAAAGCGUGGGGAGCAAACAGGAUUAGAUACCCGUGUAGUC